CGGUUUUGUGACGUCACAGCGUUGGUGCCACGGUUGUCUCGGGGUGAGGCAGAUUGCAAAACCCGACCCUCAAAUUCAUAUGAAAUUUCAAGGGGCCCAAAUAAUCAAAACAACAUUGAAAAAGGAAAACAAAGUUUGAAGACUCAAACACCCCAAUUUGAUCCAUGAGGACACAGGUUUGAUCCCUGGCCUUGCUCAGUGGGUUAGGGAUCUGGCGUUGCCAUGAGCUGUGUUGUAGGUCACAGACAUGGCUCAGAUCUGGCCUUGCUGUGGUGUAGGCCACUGGCUACAGCUGAUUCAACCCAUAGCCAGGGGACUUCCAUAUGCCACGGGUGUGGCAUGGGUUUGAUCCCUAGCUCUGGUAUCAAAAUGCUGCAGGUAUGGCAAAAAACCCCCAAACAGCUAAGUAAGUGAAGAGACAUAUUGUGCUUAUGGAUUGGUAAAAAUUUCAAUUUUUUCCCAAAUGAUAUAAAAGUAUGUAAUGCAAUUCUAUCAAAAUCUAAGCAGGACUUUUGAAAAAACAGGCUGACUCAAAGUUAUAUGUAAACAAAGGAAUUAGGAUAAAGCAAUUUUGAGAAAGAAGGAUAAAGGGAGAAGAGUCACCAUGUAGCUACCGUAAUGAAGACAGUGAGGUGUUAGUAGAGGGAGAGAUACAUGAGUCAGUGGAACAGAACAGAGUUCAGAAAUAGACUCACAUGAGUAGGCCACUUGGUCUUUUACAAAAGUACAAAACAACUAAAUAGAGAAAUGAUAAAUUUAACAAAUAGUGUUGAAAAAAUUAGACAUCAUAGGUUUAAAAAAAAAGAAAAAUGAACCUUGACUUAAAUCUUAGACUAGGUAAUAGCCAUAUUAAACUAUAAAAUGUGCAUCCAGGAGUUCCCGUCGUGGCUCAAUGGUUAACGAAUCUGACUAGGAACCCUGAGUUUGUGCGUUCGAUCCCUGGCCUUGCUCAGUGGGUUAAGGAUCUGGCAUUGCCGUGAGCUGUGGUGUAGGUUGCAGACGCAGCUCGGAUCCCACGUUGCUGUAGCUCUGGUGUAGGCCAGCGGCUUCAGGUCUGAUUCGACCCCUAGCCUGGGAACAUCCAUAUACCAUGGGAGCGGCCCAAGAAAUGGCAAAAAGACAAAAAACAAAACAAAACAAAACAAACAACAACAAAAAAACCCACUUAAAAUGUGCAUCCAGAAACUUACUUUUUUUUCUUUUUUGGCUGCCCUGCAGCAUAUGGAGUUCCUGGGCCAAGGAUCAGAUUCAAGCCAUAGUUGUAGUAAUGCAGAAUUCUUAAUCCACUGUAUUGGGCUGGGGAUUGAACCCGUGUCCCAGCGCUCCAAGAUGCCCUGGCACCACAGCAGGAACUCCAAUAUAUUUAUAAUGCAAAUAUUUGACAAAUGAUUUGUAACCGGAAUAUAUUAUAACACUAAAAAUAAGAAAAAUUUAAUUACCCAUUAGGGCUACAUCCAGUGGCAGUAAGGUAAGUUUGUCUCUGCUUCACCAACAGGGUAGUGUCAAGUUGGAUGAACUUCCACGCUGGCUCAAAAGCAAUGAGGUAGAAUUAGGUGGUUCCCAGGCAGUGUUGUUCACCAAUCAGCUUUGUACCUUCCUCCAUGUUAUCAGGACCCAGUGCUGAACUUCCAACGCUACUCAACAAACUGUAGCAACUGGGUGGUGCUAGCUGAUGCUCUGUUUUCCCUCCUUCAUCCUCCCCACCUGUUCUAACUAGGCUGAAUAGAGAGCUUAACUUUCAUGCCCAUCCAGUGAAAAUGAGGUGGGUGUCAGUGCUCCACUUUUGCUUGAGUGGAAUCUGUGGAGCUCAUUAGGGUGCAGAAUAUCCACUCCAACCUGGAUUUCCUAGCUACACCUACAAAGGGUGACUGCCUACAAAAUAGAAGGAUAAAGAGGACCUAUUCUGUUGAUACCCAAAAUGUCCAGAAUAGAACUAAAAAUCCUUCAUCAUAUGAAACAAGAAAAUCUCAAGCUGAAUGGAAAAACAAGACAUACCAACACCAUGAUGACUAAUUAUCUGACAAAUUCAAAACAGUAAUCUUAGAAAUUCUUCAGUGAUGGAGUUCCCAUCAUGGCUCAGUAGUUAACGAAUCCAACUAGGAACCAUGAGGUUGUGGGUUCAAUCCCUGGCCUCACUCAGUGGGUUAAGGAUCUGGCAUUGCCGUGAGAUGUGGUGUAGGUCACACAUUGCUGUGGCUCUGGCGUAGGCCAGCAGCUACAGCUCAGAUUACACCCCUAGCCUGGAAACCUCCAUAUGUCGUGGGUGCAGCCCUAGAAAAAGACAAAAAAAAAAAAUCUUCAAUGAAUAAAUUAUGUACCCACUUGAAACAAAUGAAAAAAAAA
rnacentral:lncRNA from 1 species